GACGAACGCUGGCGGCGUGCUUAACACAUGCAAGUCGAACGGAAAGGCCCUGCUUUUGUGGGGUGCUCGAGUGGCGAACGGGUGAGUAACACGUGAGUAACCUGCCCUUGACUUUGGGAUAACUUCAGGAAACUGGGGCUAAUACCGGAUAGGAGCUCCUGCUGCAUGGUGGGGGUUGGAAAGUUUCGGCGGUUGGGGAUGGACUCGCGGCUUAUCAGCUUGUUGGUGGGGUAGUGGCUUACCAAGGGUUUGACGGGUAGCCGGCCUGAGAGGGUGACCGGCGACAUUGGGACUGAGGUACGGCCCAGACUCCUACGGGAGGCAGCAGGGGGGAAUAUUGCACAAUGGGCGGAAGCCUGAUGCAGCAACGCCGCGUGCGGGAUGACGGCCUUCGGGUUGUAAACCGCUUUCGCCUGUGACGAAGCGUGAGUGACGGUAAUGGGUAAAGAAGCACCGGCUAACUACGUG
rnacentral:rRNA from 1 species